rnacentral:rRNA from 1 species
AGAGUUUGAUCAUGGCUCAGGGUGAACGCUGGCGGUAUGCCUAAGACAUGCAAGUCGCACGGACUGUUUCGGCAGUUAGUGGCGGACGGGUGAGUAACACGUAGGUGACCUACCCCAAAGUCUGGGACAACUAGGAGAAAUCUUAGCUAAUCCUGGAUGUGAACCUCAGCUGUGGCUGAUGUUUAAAGCUUCGGCGCUUUGGGAUGGGCCUGCGGCGCAUCAGGUAGUUGGUGGGGUAACGGCCCACCAAGCCGACGACGCGUAGCUGGUCUGAGAGGACGACCAGCCACAGGGGUACUGAGACACGGACCCCACUCCUACGGGAGGCAGCAGUUAGGAAUCUUCCGCAAUGGGCGAAAGCCUGACGGAGCGAUACCGCUUGAAGGACGAAGCCCUUCGGGGUGUAAACUUCUGAACUCGGGACGAUAAUGACGGUACCGAGGUAAUAGCACCGGCUAACUCCGUGCCAGCAGCCGCGGUAAUACGGAGGGUGCGAGCGUUACCCGGAUUUACUGGGUGUAAAGGGCGUGUAGGCGGUCUCUCAAGUCCGAUGCUAAAGACCGAAGCUCA